rnacentral:rRNA from 1 species
UACAGAGGUCUCAAGCGUUGUUCGGAUUCAUCGGGCGUAAAGGGUGCGUAGGCGGCGCCAUAAGUCAGGUGUGAAAUCUCGGGGCUUAACUCCGAAACUGCAUUUGAUACUGUGGUGCUUGAGGACUGGAGAGGAGACUGGAAUUCACGGUGUAGCAGUGAAAUGCGUAGAGAUCGUGAGGAAGACCAGUGGCGAAGGCGGGUCUCUGGACAGUUCCUGACACUGAGGCACGAAGGCCAGGGGAGCAAACGGG